rnacentral:rRNA from 1 species
AUUGAACGCUGGCGGCAGGCCUAACCCAUGCAAGUCGAGCGAGCGGCGGACGGGUGAGUAAUGUAUGGGGACUGCCCGAUAGAGGGGGAUAACUACUGGAAACGGUGGCUAAUACCGCAUACUAUCGGAUAACCCAUAUGGGAUUCGCUAGUAGGUGGGGUAACGGGUCACCUAGGCGACGAUCUCUAGCUGGUCUGAGCGGAUGAUAAGCAACACUGGGACUGAGAAACGGCCCAGACUCCGACGGAGGCAGCAGUGGGGAAUAUUGCACAAGGGGCGCAAGCCUGAUGCAGCCAUGCCGCGGGGAGGAAGAAGGCCUUAGGGUUGUAAGGUACGUUCAGCGGGGAGGCGUGACCCGCAGAAGAAGCAACGGCUAACUCCGUGCCAGCCGCCGCGGUAAUUC